GACGAACGCUGGCGGCGUGCCUAAUACAUGCAAGUAGAACGCAGUUGCGAACGGGUGAGUAACGCGUAGGUAACUGCCUGGUAGCGGGGGAUAACUAUUGGAAACGAUAGCUAAUACCGCAUACUACCAGAUUGACCUGCGAUGUAUUAGCUAGUUGGUGGGGUAACGGCUCACCAAGGCAACGAUACAUAGCCGAACUGAGAGGGUGAUCGGCCAAGAGUGUACGGAGACCCGGCCCAGACUCCUACGGGAGGCAGCAGGAGGGAAUCUGCGGCAAUGGACGGAAGUCUGACCGAGCAACGCCACGUUAUGGAAGAAGGUUUUCGGAGCGUAAAGCUCUGUUUUAAGAGAAGCGGUAUCUGACCAGAAAGGGACGGCUAACUACGGGCCAGCAGCCGCGGUAAUUC
rnacentral:rRNA from 1 species